UACGGGGGGUGCAAGCGUUGUUCGGAUUUAUUGGGCGUAAAGCGCGUGUAGGCGGUUUUUUAAGUCUGAUGUGAAAGCCCCGGGCUCAACCUGGGAAGUGCAUUGGAUACUGGGAGACUUGAAUACGGGAGAGGGUAGUGGAAUUCCUAGUGUAGGAGUGAAAUCCGUAGAUAUUAGGAGGAACACCGGUGGCGAAGGCGGCUACCUGGACCGACAUUGACGCUGAGACGCGAAAGCGUGGGGAGCGAACAGG
rnacentral:rRNA from 1 species